ensembl:antisense
CCACCUGCUGGUCGUCGGGCGCGCUGGUGCAGUGGCCGCUUCUUGGCAGGCAGGGCCGCCCAAAUGUUGGUGGCGGCCAUUGGGGCGAGUCUCUUGGGUUUGCUGUCCACUGCUGGGAAGACUUCCUCUGUAAAGGGAUCUUCAGCUUCAUCGCCUUCAGAACAGGAGGCGUCCUGGGACAGAGUGAAGCUGUCCUCACUCCUUGUUAGCUUUUGCUUGGAUGUUGGGCCCACGAGGCACUCUCGUGAGGGUGACAUGUUGGGUUCAGAGAACCGCCUGUCUUGUUGGACAAUGGAGUUUUUCAGCCUGACUACCAUGCUAACGCUGGACUCUGAGCUUGACUCACAGGUGUCCCGGUGGCCCCGGGUAUCCAGACCAGCCAUUGUGGGAGUGGGACCCUCCAGUUGCCUGUUGGGAGAGGCUGCGCCACUUGUGGGCUCCACAUCUGGGUCAUUGCUGUCAUAGGCCGAGUCAUUCUGCAGAGUUGACACGUCUGGGGAAAGUUAAGGAAGAGCUGAGCAUUCUGUCCAGGCUCUCUUAGCGAAUACCCUAUUUAUACCAACGAUGCUUUGGUGGAAGUGUACUGGGGCCUGAUCCAACAAGAAGCUGAUUACACUGAAACUUUGCUUCUGUCUAAAAUGGUCUUUAAGUGGUAAGAAAGUGGGAAAAAUAAAAUGGAGAAGGAAGGGAAAGAUUCGAGGAAAAGAAACUGACAAUGAUAAUAUUCUCUAUGGUCUAUUGAUCUGAAUUUGUAACAUUGGUUUUUCAGGUAGCUCUUAUAUAGGCUCAAUGUCCAUUUUGAUGGACUCACAUUCCUUUGCAGAGCUGGGAUUUCCUUACUCCAACCCAUAGCUGGAGUUUACUUAAUAGAAUCAAGAGCUAUUCAUGACUCAGAAUGAAAAGGAAAAAAUUCCAGAUUGUGUCUGGUGUCUGGUGUGUGUGUGUGUGUGUGUGUGUGUGUGUGUGUGUGUGUGUAAGUAUAUCUAAUAGCAAGACCUCUGUGGUUGGUGACUUCCUUACAGAAUUCUGACUUGUGAAGGUGAAUCCUGCUCUUAAUACCAGGGAUGCUUCACAUUGCUGCAUGGAGCACCUAUGGCCGGCAGGAACUUCUCCCCAGAACCACACUCAAGUGAGAGUGUUCUGUACCUGAACUGUCAGUGUGUUCCAGGGAGUCGUCAGAAGUGAUGCGGGAACGCGUCCGAAUGUUCUCCCCAAAUAUCUCAAAGCAGUUGUCGAUGAGGAAUUCCACCAAGAUCUUAACCUGUAAAACAAAGAAAAUAAGCAGUUUGUCAGCUUAAGUACAUUCAUAAAAAAGGAAGCAAAGAAUGAGGGCAUAUCGGGGUCAACUAUUCAGGAAGUGGCAGAAUUAAGACUAGCUACUUUCAUGUGCCUGAAAAGCACAUUGGAAUAAUAAAUACACUUUAUUAUUAUACUUUUUGAGGCUUUUCAGAAUAAAAAAAAAAGCUUUGAAGUAACUGUGAUUUCAUUUAAGGAAGUGCUUGUCCAGAAUUUUAGCUGAACAGGCAGAAUGUGAUACACAGAAGAAAAAGAACAAAGUGUUUUUUCCAGCUCUGUGUGUGUGUGGGGGAGGGGUAGUGCUGUGUCUGUUACUCUGUCUCCCAGGACAACAGAGUAUGCAUACAUUUGGUGCCUCUGCAAAUGCAGGUUUCUAUGAGCGUGGAACCACAACACACGCCGCAGUUCAUACCUCCACUGCGGCCCCUGAGUCAUUUGAGACACUCAAACCACAAGCAUUUCAGUGCUUGGCUUUUGCAGAGAGUGGGCUUGUGACCAGUGAGUUUCUCCUACUGAGGCAGGACAUACCUUAUUGUUCAGGUCCUUCUGGGCCUGGAAGGACAGGCUCUGGUCGUUCUUCAGAGUGAGCAUGUUAGGCCCGAUGCAGAUGGCGAGGUUGCUGGAGUCCAUCUUGUUGACCUCAGCGUUCUUGCUGAUGAGGUGGAGCACGUAGAGCAAGUGCCUGAGCAGGAGAAGGUUGGGCCGGGGGAGGCCACCAGCAACCCUGAAAUAAAGUUGAGGGAUGAUGAUUUUCAUGUAGUCUCGAAAGGCUCCACCCACCCAGACCUCCUUAAAAGCAAGGAAGGUGCAUUGUCACAAGAAACAUUGUGAAACUCUCAUUCAGGGACUCCCUGUGGUUGUAGUGGGGCCCCAACAGCGCCUGUCUUUAUCACACACAGGGAUGCUGGGUGUGAAUCAGAGCCCGUUUAACUGGCAGUCUGCCUUCCAUUUUGAAAACAAUUUUGUUAUAUCAUUAAAUAACUGCAUCAGAAUCCUUUCCGAGACCCUACGAGACCAGCUUCCUCACACCUUUUCAAGGCUAAUUUCCAGAUGAAGGUCACCACCCAUUUUCACAUUAUUCUGAGAAAUCUUUAGAGAGAACUAAUCUAUAGAAGCUUGUUUAUAACUAGACAAUGCUCUAGUGAUAACAAAUUAUUCUUGAGUUAGAUUCUUUACAUUUUGAUAUUUCAAGAAAAAAAAUGAAGUGAUUCCAACACAUGGGUCCUUUUCAUUUCUUGGUGUUAUUUUCAGAAAAGACUUUGUGUGCAAGCGUGAUAAUCAUAGUGUUGGGGGGGGGGCAGAAACUAUCCCCUUUCUGGAAAAUAUUUCAUGGCAAAUACUCCGCCGGCCAUGGGGACACCUCUUGCGUAUCAAUGAGCUUAGGGUGCUGGUAUGUUAACAGAAAGCCUCUGGGAGUCUCAGAAAUGCAGAGGUCACACUUCGUUUUUCAUUGCUAGCUAUUAGAAUUUGAUCUUCUCUCUCAAAAAAAAUUUUUAUUAACCAUAAGAAUGCAGUUUGCUGUGGAAAUGUAUGAAUAAAACAAUUUCUCCC